AUACUCUGGUUUCUCUUCAUAUUGCGUUUUGCAUUUUACUAAAGAUUUCCAUAGAGAGUAACAAUUAUGAGUUUUUGAACCAAUUUUUUGAUGCCUUGUUUCCACAAGGCU
ensembl:snRNA U5 U5 spliceosomal RNA